rnacentral:misc_RNA from 1 species
GUAAAAAAUUGAGUGUGUUAGUUAGAAAGUGCGCAAGCGCAUUAUGUUCUUUAUAACAGAAGUGUGUUGAGUGAUAUUGAAUGUGUUAGUUUGAUCACCCUGAGGACAGCCAUUGUGUUAUUGUUAUUUACGCAUAAGUCUUUCAGAAUUCGUGAUUAUUAAUCUCGUAUCAUACUGAAAGAAAUUGCGAGAUUAUUAUUUUAAUCUAUAUUUUCUACGAUAAAGAAUAAUGACAGAUAGAUCAAGUAAUGGAGAUUAUCAGCAUGAUCGAGAGGAGUCUCCAGAAAAUAAUUCUAAUUUGUCAAUGAAAAAAGAAGAAAAGGAUCAUCAAGUUGAUAAGGCUGGGGAAUAUGUAAGAGAACUUUUGCAAGAAAAAGUCGAAUUGGAUUCGCAAAAAUGGCCCAAUGCAACUCGCUUGAUUGAUCAAGAAAUACAAAAAACUCAGGCUAUUGGAAAGCCUUUAAGAGAUCCAAAAUAUGUUGAUAUUUAUCGUGAGAAACCAAUACGCAUUUCUGUUAAAGUCUUGGUUCCUGUUCGCGAACAUCCAAAGUUUAAUUUUGUCGGAAAACUAUUGGGACCAAAGGGAAAUUCCAUGAAACGUUUACAAGAAGAAACGUUGUGCAAGAUGGCAGUUUUAGGAAGAGGGUCAAUGAAAGAUCGACAAAAGGAAGAAGAAUGUCGUAUGUCUUUGGAUCCAAAAUAUGCUCAUCUAUCGGAUGACCUACAUGUAGAAAUAACAGCGUUAGCUCCACCAGCUGAAGCAUAUGCUCGUAUAGCAUUUGCACUCGCAGAGGUUCGCAAAUAUUUAAUUCCAGAUAAUAACGACAAUAUACGGCAAGAACAGAUGCGAGAAAUGGAACUUAGCAUGGCGGAUGAUUCAACAGUUUCUGAAGAUAGAAGACCUUCUGUUAGAGGUGUUCCUCCUACAGCAAGUGGUAUUCUUAGACCUAGUUCCAGGCCAACGCUGCCAAGGUCAUCAAGAGUUUCAGCUCCUGUUCUUCCUCCACCUUCCAAUCGUGGACCCAUCUCUCGACCAAUGGCUGCAAAGACUAAAAUUUUUUCAAUAUUAGACCGUGCACGAGCUGCUAUGGAUCAGAGUUAUGGCUAUGAGACUCCAACUCCGCCUUUAAAUAAUCGCGUAGGAACACAUGAUUACGAAUAUCAUCCAUCUUCGACAACAAAUACUCGAUAUGCAGAUCGUCAUUAUACGUCGACUGCAAGCGACGACAUGUAUCCUACUUCGAGAUAUUCUACCUAUGAAUACGAAGAAGAACCCGUGCCGCAUACAUCACAUGAUUAUUACGAAAUGCCAGAGUAUCCAGAGGAUACAACAAGCCGCGCAUGGAAGUCAUACAAGACUACAUCAACGUCAGGCUCGAGCUCGCGAUAUCGCAGCGCUCCAUACACACGACCUUCCAAGUGUAUGAGAAAAUUCAAAAUUUCGCGUGGGAACGCGUACUUCUCGAUUGAAAUAUUUUUGAUCCUCCUGUGAUUCAUGGAACUCUAGGGGGGAUGUCUCGAUGAAACUAACGCAAAAAGAAACAGCAUCGUUUAUUACACGUGAUGAGAAGAAAAUUACAUCGUUUAAAAGUGGUGUUCAUGUCCAGCAGGGGAGAGAGAGAGAGAGAGAGAGUUUUUUUAAAGUCUUCAGAGCAGCAUUGGGGUUGUAUUCUUCCAUUGUAUUUACUUUAUUUAUUUAUUUUUUUUUUUUCUUGAAAGAUAAAGUUUAUAUAUAUUUUGAAGGAUAAA